rnacentral:lncRNA from 1 species
GUCUUCAUCAUAAUAUUAAUUUAUAGAAUUAAAAUGAUACGAAAAGUGCCUAUAAAUGUAACAGAUCAACCAUAUAUCACCUGCUACCCCUACCGUACCCAGUAGUCCGAUCCGGCGGUUACAUAACGGGAUUACCGGCCGGCCGGGAGGUAGCUGACUAGCUGUGGAGAAGUUGAUUAUUAUUAUUGCGGUAUAGUGUCUGUCUACUACUCAUAUAUAUAUCUUUUUCGUCAAAGUUUCUAGAUAGAUAGAUAUAUUAUUAUAUAUACAUAUAAAAUUAACAUAUAUAGACAGAAAGAUAGAUCAAACUUGCUUCAUGCGCGCGUGCAUAUGUUAGCCGCUAGCUACUUCAACUCGUCCAUCAGCAUGCACUGCUACUCGCACGUGCACCAACGAUCGUCGACGACGUACGAGAUCCGGCCGCCAGUGGACUCCUACACACACGAGAGAGAGAUGAGAGCACUAGACUCAGCUGGAGUAAGAUAUGUUACAAAACAAUGUAAUAUAUGAUCAAGACCCAUCCAACCGUUGAUUCUACGGUUAUUUGAUCCAAGGGUCUGAUGCCCUUUGUACACAUGUAUAUAUAUGAAGAUCCCUGCAAUAAACAGACAACACCAGUCAUUUGUCUCAUUUGCUCUUGUCUCUCCACUGAUUACCACUGAGCACUGCAAGAGAUUGCAACACGUUAUCAGCACUGUCUCAAGGGAGAAAUCAGAGAAGGGGAAGAGGAAGAACACGCUGUUCUUGACAAGAACAGCAAGAUCGAUCUGCACAUCAACAGCAAGGUAUGGAGCAUACCGUUUCCAUACGCAUACGCCGUAUGCGCGAAGUUCUUCAUAUUGUUGAUGAUGCAAUGUUGGAAGCGUUCACCGUUGGGCAAGCCACUGCACUCCCACCGGUGCACGAGAUCCCUGAACGCCGUGUGCAAGUGCAAAAUGUGCACUUCUGCGUUCUCCAUGGAUGGACAGCGGUGGUUCCGCUGCCGGUGGUGGAGUGUGGACUCCCCACUGCAUCCCCGUCGCCACCGGCGCCGGUGUUUGACGCGGGAUCGUCUGCAUCGGCCCCUAUGGAUGUCGAUUUGGCAGCACCACCACCGCCUCCGCCCACUGCAGCAGCAGUUGCUCGUCAUUCGCCAUCUCCACCAGUGCCUAUGGUCGUCGGGACCAUUGCUGCCCGUCGUGGACAGCCCCCUCGUGCCGUCGAUGCUCCGCGUGGACGCAUCAUCUUCACAGGCCAUCGCCCAAAUGGGGUGGCCCCGUCUUCCUCCUCCAAUGGGAGGGCCUAAUGGCCCUCGAUCCGGCCGCUGUGUCGGCCGUUUGGGGGAGGGGGGUGGAGGAAUGGCGCUGCAAGCCCAGUGCUCUGGCGUGGCACUGCUCUCCGGCAUGGAGCAAAGGACAUGCAGUGAACCUGCAAUGUCGGCCCCGACCCGGCCAUGGCUCGUCUGCCAGGCUCGGCCGCGGCCCCCUCCCUGGCGGCGCUCGACGCAAUGCGACGGCGAGGAGCAGUGGCUCCGGUCAGCGGCUCGGCGCAGCCUCCUGGAGUCGCGGGCGCAGGACAAGCCCGGCGCGCGCGCGACUCGCGCUCGGCGCGGGCGCGGUAUGGCCACCUCCCGAGGGCGCUCGGCAACGGCCGGCGCUUGGUGCGGCCGCAUGCCCUGGCGCAGGCGGCUCCGCCCCGGCGAGGGCGCUCGGCGCGGCCUGGCGCGCACCAGGCGCGCGGCCAGCUACGGACGCGGCUCCCCGGCGCAGGCGUCCUUGCGCGGGCUCCUGGCGAAAAGAGGCGGGCGUGGCAUGGCCCUGGCGCGCGGCUCCCCUGCGCAAGGAGCUGCUCGGCGCGGGCUCGUGGCAGCGCGCGGCGCGGCCCACCGGCGGUGCUCGGCGCGGUCUCCGCCUCGCGCUUGGCGCGGGCACCUUGGCGCUCGGACGGGCCCCACGCAAGGCGCGCGCGCAUAGGCGUGCACAGUCGGCCCUGGCGGCGGCUGGGAGCCUUGGCGCUCGUCCCUGGCCGGCGGCUGGAAAACGCCCUGGUGGCGGCGACGGCUACAGGGGCGGUUAGGGUUGGAAACCCUAGCCGCCCCAAUAUAAAAUAGGCUUUUGGGCCUCUGUUAGGCCGCCUGGGCAGGCCAGCUGGGCUGGGCCGGCGUGCAGGCCUCUGGCCGCUGCCUGGCUCGCCUGGCAGGCCGCCUGGGCUACUUUCAGAGGCCUAAUAUAGCCUGUUUUACCAUUUUAAAUUCUGAAUUUCUGUAUAAGACUCUGUUUUAUAUGCAUUUUCAGUUCACAAUUAUCUUAGGCGUCUAAAUUCGCAAUUUAGACUGCAUAUAUUGUAAAGACAUAUCUGUUUUAUUGUAAAUAUAGCAGAUUUUAGUUCGUGAAUUAUUGUUUGUCUUACAUUAAUAAUUCACAUAUCUCUACUUGCUAUGAUUUACGCAUUCAUUUAUGUUUGCAUAUAAAUAUAGCAUUUAUUAAGUUCAGACUUAAUAAAACUCAUGCAAAAUGAAAUUACAUUAUUUUGGAUUAAGAGCAUAGGGAGAUAGAGUCCUAAGCAUUGGCUGCACUAAAUUCUUUAUAGAAUUUAGUAGCCCAGAGACCGUGCUUGUGGCAGCAUUUGGAAUGCCUAUCUCUAUGAGGUCUACAUCCCUCGGGAUGAUUACCUAUACGUGCUAUCCAAAAUAACAGGAUAUGGAGUUAUUGAAUUUUACUUUGAUAAUUAGUAGAGCAUGGGUAGUGGAGACCUAAGCAUUGGCUGCGGUUUGUUCAUUUAUGAACUUAUCUGCCUAGAGACCGUGCUUUUAGGCAGCAAGUUUCUUGCCCACUACUAGAUCUACCUCAUUAAUUUGAGGAUUAUCUAUACUAUGCUUACUAAAAUUCAAAGUAUUUAUUCAAUUGGAAGGUUUGGAACCUUCAGGCAACUCAUAUCACAUGUAAGAGUUAGUGAAUUUUACUUUGAUAAUUAGUAGAGCAUGGGUAGUGGAGACCUAAGCAUUGGCUGCGGUUUGUUCAUCCGUGAACUUAUCAGCCCAGAGACCGUGCUUUUAGGCAGCAAGUUUCUUGCCCACUACUAGAUCUACCUCAUUAAUUUGAGGAUUAUCUAUACUAUGCUUACUAAAAUUCAAAGUAUUUAUUCCAUGGGAAGGUUUGGAACCUUCAAGAAACUCGUUACAUAUGUAAUUUUAAAGAACUUUUGCAUAAUGAACUUACAACAUCACCAUUGUGACUAUUAAUUUAUGCGUAAAUUAAUGGAUGUCCAUGGUAAUGACUGUAGGAACAUGUCAACCAAAGAGUUCGAGGAACUCGCCCUUGAUGGGCAUAACUACCCAACUUGGGCUUCAGAUAUUGAAAUAACUUUUGCUUCUCGUGGGAUAAUUGAUGCCAUUGCAGCACCCAUCACUGGUACUGAUCCAGUGAAUGAGGUUAAAAAGAACACAGCACUUUUCCUUUUGAGGCUUUACAUCCAUAAGGACCUUAAACAAGAGUACCUUAUGGAGAGAUGCCCUCAUAACUUGUGGAAAUCUCUCAAAGAGCGCUAUGAACAGCAAAAGGAGCUCAUAUGGCCGUCAGCCAACCAUGAGUGGAACCACCUUCGUCUGCAAGAUUUUAAAUCUGUUGCAGAAUAUAACCAUGCUCUUCAUAGCAUUUGUUCUAAAUUGAAAUUUUGUGAGAAAGAGCCCACUGAAGCAGACAAGAUAGAGAAGACUCUAUCUACCAUGCUUCCAGAGGACAGGAUAUUGCAUCAGCAGUAUCGCUCUAGUAAUUUCCAGAGAUAUUCUCAACUCAUGCACACAUUGACCCAAGCAGAAAAGCAUCAUGAGCUUCUUCUAAAGAAUGCUCAGCAGCGCCCUCCUGGGUCUGCCCCUCUGCCUGAGGUACAUUUCAAUGUGCAUAAGACUGAGAAUAAGAAAGGAUUCAAGAAAAACUUCAAGAAUCCUCCUGGACCUCACAAAUUCAAGAAGAACAAAUUCCACAAGAAAGGUAAAGGAAAAGGAAAAGGAAAUGGCAAGCCUCUACCAUCUAAGGGCAACAGAGCUUGCCUUAAAUGUGGUACUGAGGGCCAUUUUGCUAGGGACUGCACUUGCCCUAAGCACCUUGUUCUGUUGUAUCAACAAUCCCUAAAGAAGCCAAAGUCUGAUAAGCCUGUUUUUGAGGCUCAUUUCAAUUCUACUGAAGCACCAAUUGAGGUUGGAAGUUCUUCACUGGCUUCUGGUGACCUGAAGAACACUCUUGCUAAAGAGCACCUCAAUGGGGUUGACAACAAGCCUCCACUUCUGCAAGAAGAUGAAUCUGAUGAUAUGAUCAUUGAGUAUAUGUCAAAGGAUCCAUUUGGAGAUUUGGCAUAAAUCUCUCAUGCUUGGAGAUUUGAUCAUGAUCACUGUGGCUUGUGUGGAUGUUCUAUACUGUCUUUAUAAUGUUGUUGUAAUAAGUAGAGGUAUACAAUCUCAUGUGUUGAGAUGUAACACACUCUACAAGACCAGUGUUGGGUCCUGUGUGUAAUGCGAACUCAUUGGAUGAGUCGUCAUACCAUUAUUGUAAUAUUGUUUCGACAUUGUGAUAUUUAAAUAUCAUGUUAUGUAUAGUACUAAGUUGCAUCACACAAAUUCUUAUUCAGAAUUUUUAUUUAUGUAUAGAUGCAUAAUGAUGACAACUCGACGGAAGAGGAAUUAUGCCUUGUGGACAGUUGUACCACAAACUCUAUACUUAGGGAGAUCAAAUACUUUCAGACUCUUAAGAAAAGAGAUGGGAAAGUUUUGACCAUCGCCGGACGCGAUGCUGUGAUAGUUGGCUCUGGUCGAGCAACUAUUACACUCCCCAUGGGUACUGAAAUUGUGAUCGAGGAUGCAUUAUUGUAUCCUGAUUCUACACGUACCCUCCUAAGUUUUAGAGAUAUCCGGCAAAAUGGAUUUCAUAUUGAAACCCAUGAUGAAAAUCAAGAAGAGUUUCUCUUCUUGACCAAGCCGAAUAAAUAUGGCAAGCGCAUAUGCGAGAAAAUUCCAUCACUCACGUCAGGGUUGUACUAUACACAUAUUAAAAGCAAUGCACAUGUUGCAUACAAGGUAAUUUUCCAAGAUGUUGAUGCAUUCCAAAUUUGGCAUGAUCGACUUGGUCAUCCUGGCGUAGGGAUGAUGAGGAAAAUUACAGGCAAUUCAAUUGGCCAUAAUCUGCCCACAACAAGUUUUCCCAAACCUCAGGAUUUUGUUUGCACCGCAUGUGCAACUGGGAAACUUAUUUUGAGACCAUCAUAUCUCAAAAUUAAAGCUGAACCGCUUAAAUUCCUUGAAAGGAUUCAAGGAGAUAUUUGUGGGCCCAUUAUGCCAACUUCUGGGCCGUUCAGGUAUUUCAUGGUACUGAUUGACGCAUCUACUAGAUGGUCACAUGUGUGUUUACUAUCAACACGCAACCAUGCAUUUGCCAAGAUAAUGUCUCAAAUUAUCAAGUUAAAGGCAAAUUUUCCUGAACAUCGGAUUAGUUCAAUCCGAAUGGACAAUGCUGCUGAAUUCAAAUCUCAGGCAUUCAAUGAUUAUUGUAUGGCGCUGGGGAUUCAAGUACAGCACUCGGUACCGUAUGUCCACACCCAGAAUGGUUUGGCUGAGUCACUAAUCAAGAGGAUUAAACUCAUCGCAAGGCCAUUAUUGAUGAAUUGCAAAUUGCCUUCGUCGUGUUGGGGUCAUGCAGUCCUGCACGCUGCUGACCUUAUACAAUUACGACCAACUGCAUACCAUUCAACAUCCCCAAUACAAAUGGUACGUGGAAAUCCUCCAAGUAUUUCCCAUUUGCGCAAAUUUGGAUGUUGUGUAUACAUUCCAAUCUCACCACCUCAGAGAACAGCUAUGGGCCCACACAGGAAAGUGGGGAUCUAUGUGGGAUUUCAAUCUCCGUCGAUCAUUAAGUAUUUAGAACCCUUAACAGGGGAUCUAUUUACAGCCCGUUUUGCUGACUCUAUCUUUGAUGAGGAACAUUUCCCGGCAUUAGGGGGAGAAUUGAAGUACCAAAAAGAAUGCCAGGAAAUAAAUUGGAAUACUCAAUGUGUUCCAGGUUCUGAUCCACGUACUUCAGAAACUGAACUGCAAGUUCAGAAAAUUAUACAUUUGCAAAGACUUGCAAAUGAACUGCCAGAUGCAUUCACUAAUUACAAAGGUGUCACUAAAUCAUUCAUUCCUGCUAGGAAUGCACCAGAAAGAGUGGAAGUACCGAGUAAGGCCACUCAACUCCUAGAGAGGAGAAGUAUGGUGAAUAAGCGCUGUUCUGUUGCUAAGAAGCAAAGAGCAAUAGUGAAUGCAAAAGGACACCAAUAUGAUACAAUGUAUCAUGUGGAUUGUGAUGAUCCACAACCCAGCUCGGAUGUGCACAUAACCGAGGCUGGGACAUCGGAAAAUCCUGGACACAUCAAUUUGGGAAAUUCUGAUGAGUCUCUAAGGAAUGAUGAAAUUGCCAUCAACUAUGUUGAGACUGGUGAAACAUAUGAUAGAAAAGCUACCAAUGUCGACAUAUAUUUCUCCGAGCAGAUUGCUGAGGACCUUCAAAAUGAUCUAGAUCCAAAGACCAUGGCAGAGUGCAGUAAGCGCUCGGAUUGGAUCAAAUGGAAGGCAGCAAUCGAAGCGGAGUUAGCCUCGCUUUACAAAAGAGAAGUUUUCUCUGCUGUAAUACCUACACCACGUGAUAUCUUCCCUGUGGGAUAUAAGUGGGUUUUCAUUCGGAAACGAAAUGAAAAUGGUGAGGUAGUGAGAUACAAAGCAAGGCUAGUAGCACAAGGGUUUACGCAAUGAAUCCCACUUUGGAUCUUUUGAUGAAGACGCACGGGCAAUCAUCAUUUUUCGUGUAUCCCUUACGUAAAAGGAAUUCACUCAAUCGGUUGUACCACAUUCUGCCCGAUUGUUUUAAGCCAUAUAAUGACUUCUGCAACUUUACACAAUACAUGUUGCGCUUCGCCUUUGGAUUCGGUACAUCUAUUCCAUCAGGAACUUUCAUGUAUAUAUCAGAAUCCAGUGACCCAUAGAGAUAUGCGGUCACUACGUCCAUCAACUGCAAAGAUAGACGAUUUUGCACUGCCAAAGAUAUUAAAUAUCGGAAUGUUAUUGCACUCAUGACUGGUGAAUAAGUUUCGUUGAAAUCAACGCCGGGUCUUUGCGUAAACCCUUGUGCUACUAGCGUGGAAAUCGUCUAAACAGACUUUGGUGACCACGUCCACCAACCAUUCUGAAAUAAUUGCAUUAUUUGAAGCAUCACGUGAAUGUGUAUGGCUUCGUAGAAUGGUGAAUCAUAUACUCACAACUUGUGGUAUUGGUUCUCUUGACUCACCAACAAUUAUCUAUGAAGAUAAUUCAGCUUGUGUUGUUCAGAUGGAUACAGGUUAUAUCAAGAGCAAUAUCAAUAAGCAUAUUUCUCCUAAACUGUUUUAUCCCCAUGAACUUCAGGAAAAAGGGGAUAUAAACAUCUUGCAAACAAAGUCUUGUGAUAAUCUUGCAGAUCUAUUCACAAAGUCUCUACCAUACUCUACAUUUCAGAAAUGUGUUGAGGGGAUUGGUAUGAGAAGACUUAAGUGCUUGCAAGGUUCAGGGGGAGUAAUUCCCCAUGAUAUAUAACCCGUAUUGAACCAUCAUAUUACACUCUUUUCUUUGUAUGAGUUUUGCCUUACUAAGGUUUUCUCAUUCAAAGUUUUUAACGAGGUAAUAUCAACAAAGCUAUAUGCUUCAUCAUUGAUUUUUCCCACAGGGGUUUUUAUACAUGAUGAUUACAAGCAUAUUUUUCUUUUGGAGACAAUGUGAGAUUAUUCUCAUUAUCCAAAAGAUAUUGUGUACUCCUUAUUUUUCCCACAGGGUUUUUUUUGAGGAGAUAAGAUAAAUUGCAGAUGAUCAAACGGUUUUGGGUUGAUCAAGGGGGAGUGUUACAAAACAAUGUAAUAUAUGAUCAAGACCCAUCCAACCGUUGAUUCUACGGUUAUUUGAUCCAAGGGUCUGAUGCCCUUUGUACACAUGUAUAUAUAUGAAGAUCCCUGCAAUAAACAGACAACACCAGUCAUUUGUCUCAUUUGCUCUUGUCUCUCCACUGAUUACCACUGAGCACUGCAAGAGAUUGCAAC